GACGUAGGGCGCGAGCGUUGUCCGGAAUUAUUGGGCGUAAAGAGCUCGUAGGCGGCUUGUCGCGUCGGCUGUGAAAUCCCGUGGCUCAACUGCGGGUCUGCAGCCGAUACGGGCAGGCUAGAGUUCGGUAGGGGAGACUGGAAUUCCUGGUGUAGCGGUGAAAUGCGCAGAUAUCAGGAGGAACACCGGUGGCGAAGGCGGGUCUCUGGGCCGAUAUUGACGCUGAGGAGCGAAAGCGUGGGGAGCGAACAGG
rnacentral:rRNA from 1 species